UAACCACUGCACAUAACAGCCUGUCUUUGGCUGUAGUACAGAAGGGGGCACAAGGACAAAACCCUGGGAUAUAUUUCUAGCAAUUUUCAUAGGAUCUCAUGCCAAGCUGGAAAACACCAUCUAUGGAGAGUCUUAAAUAGAACAAUACUUGCAUUUUAGAAAAAUCAUUCUUGCUAUAGUGCAUAGGAUGAAUUGCAAGAAGAGAGACUGGGAAGAGAGAUAAGAGUCAAAGGGCUGUUGAAAUGAUCCAGGUAAGAGAUGAAGUCCCAAGUUUAGCAUGGACCUUCCUUCCUGAGCUAU
rnacentral:lncRNA from 1 species